UACGUAGGUGGCGAGCGUUGUCCGGAAUUACUGGGCGUAAAGGGCGCGUAGGCGGAUCGUUAAGUUGGACGUGAAAUACCCCGGCUCAACUGGGGGGCGACGUCCAAAACUGGCGGACUAGAGUGCACGAGAGGAAAGUAGAAUUCCCAGUGUAGCGGUGAAAUGCGUAGAUAUUGGGAGGAAUACCGGUGGCGAAGGCGGCUUUCUGGACUGUAACUGACGCUGAGGCGCGAAAGCUGGGGGAGCGAACAGG
rnacentral:rRNA from 1 species